rfam:Cricetulus griseus cell line CHO-K1, whole genome shotgun sequence.
GUCUAUGGUCAUACCUCCCUGAACAUGCCCGAUCUCCUCUGACCUCGGAAGCUAAGCAGGGUCGGAUCUGGUUAGUAUUGGACGGAAGACAAGUCACAGGCAAUAGAAC